rnacentral:rRNA from 1 species
AGCGAACGCUGGCGGCAGGCCUAAUACAUGCAAGUCGAACGGCUCUUCGGAGCAGUGGCGGACGGGUGAGUAACGCGUGGGAACGUGCCCUUUGGUUCGGAACAACACAGGGAAACUUGUGCUAAUACCGGAUGUGCCCUUCGGGGGAAAGAUUUAUCGCCAUUGGAGCGGCCCGCGUUGGAUUAGCUAGUUGGUGGGGUAAAGGCCCACCAAGGCGACGAUCCAUAGCUGGUCUGAGAGGAUGAUCAGCCACACUGGGACUGAGACACGGCCCAGACUCCUACGGGAGGCAGCAGUAGGGAAUCUUGCGCAAUGGGCGAAAGCCUGACGCAGCCAUGCCGCGUGAAUGAUGAAGGUCUUAGGAUUGUAAAAUUCUUUCACCGGGGAAGAUAAUGACGGUACCCGGAGAAGAAGCCCCGGCUAACUUCGUGCCAGCCGCCGCGGUAAUAC